UAGUCUGCAACUCGACUACAUGAAGCUGGAAUCGCUAGUAAUCGCGAAUCAGAAUGUCGCGGUGAAUACGUUCCCGGGUCUUGUACACACCGCCCGUCACACCAUGGGAGUUGGCAACGCCCGAAGUCAGUGACCCAGCCUUAACAGGAGGGAGCUGCCGAAGGCGGGGCUGAUAACUGGGGUGAAGUCGUAACAAGGUAAC
rnacentral:rRNA from 1 species